CCUCGGGAGGCAGCAGUGGGGAAUAUUGGACAAUGGGGGCAACCCUGAUCCAGCCAUGCCGCGUGUGUGAAGAAGGCCCUCGGGUUGUAAAGCACUUUCAGUGAGGAAGAACGCCUGGUGGUUAAUACCCAUCAGGAAAGACAUCACUCACAGAAGAAGCACCGGCUAACUCCGUGCCAGCAGCCGCGGUAAUACGGAGGGUGCGAGCGUUAAUCGGAAUUACUGGGCGUAAAGCGCGCGUAGGUGGCUUGAUAAGCCGGUUGUGAAAGCCCCGGGCUCAACCUGGGAACGGCAUCCGGAACUGUCAAGCUAGAGUGCAGGAGAGGAAGGUAGAAUUCCCGGUGUAGCGGUGAAAUGCGUAGAGAUCGGGAGGAAUACCAGUGGCGAAGGCGGCCUUCUGGACUGACACUGACACUGAGGUGCGAAAGCGUGGGUAGCAAACAGGAUUAGAUACCCGGGUAGUC
rnacentral:rRNA from 1 species